AUUAUAAAACAGUGCCAAUGUUUUCAUGAAGGGGAGUAAGACUUGUGGUAUAAUAUAUCUUAAAUACAAGCUAGCAUUAUUACUGCUUUUUAGUAUGAAUAGAGUUUUAGAAUUAUUAUUGGAGUGGACUUUUGAGGUUAGCAUUACAGCUUGUCUGUGCAGAUUGAUGUUGGAAAUGGCUAUAUGAAUUGACUUUUAAAAAUAUUAAUUACUGUAGCUGAAGGAUAUAAAUGUGUGAUUAUUUCUCCAUACUCCUAAAUUAGAGAUGUUGUGAAGAUUCUUAACAUGUUGACAGCUGGGUGCUCUCUCUUCAGAAGACAAAAGAUUUAAAAUCCCCAUUCUGACACUGACAUGACUGCCAAUCUAUAUAUCCUGCCUGAGUAUCCUGCACUACCAAACAGAUGCCUUAAUUUUACAUGUAUUUUACUGCAAGUCUCCAGAAGACCAAGAGUGACCAUAUUUCCUUUUGGGUCUUUCUAACUCUACCAAACAGUUUCCAAUAUAAACGGACCAUAUAAAUCUUGCAUAAAUAAGAGAAAGAAUGUAUUUAGUAAAUUCUAAAAUAAUUUAUGUAAAGAUUCUCCAUUUUCUACAAGAGUGGAAGUUUAAAUUAUUAAAGGUUAAUGUAUUGUGUUUUGAAUUUUCACUCAACUUUAUUUCUCUCUCUACCAUUAAAUGCUAUUGACUUUUACUACUUGUUGCUCUACAUUUAAAAUGGUUCUUAUCAAGUUAACAUUAACGUUAUAAAGUUAACAUUAAUAUUAUAAAGUUAACAUUGACAUUAUAAAGUUAACAUUUACAUUAAUUGGUUAGGAAUGGAGAAUCUAAAGAUAACAAAAUUUAAGUAUAGCAAUGGUUUUAUAUGGAUAUAUAUGUAUAAUGAUACAUUCAAGAGAUUGCUUGUAGCAAUAUGUGAGUAAUCCUUAUUUACUACCAGUCAGACAUUUCCUGACUAAAUAUCAAGUCUAUUAAUUGCUACAGGUACUUGACUCAGUUGUAAUGGAUCAUAAGUCUAACAGGGUCAAGGGGAGGUAACGCCUCAUACUGUAAGUUUCUUUAGUGUUGACCAAUAUAACUAUAUAAAAUAAAAAUAAAAGCAGAAGCAUAGUUUUAUUUUCAAAGAUAGUAUCAAAAGCAAAACUUGGUUUUCAAUUUUUUGUAUCACUGAUAAAUUGACCAGUAACAGCUUAAAAACCUUCCUGGAAUGUUAUGAAAUGAGAACAUUAAGUGAGUGAAGGUAUGACAGUAAACUGGAUUAAGAAUGUUAAAUAAAAUAUGUUUUUGCAAAUUUGGACGACAAUUAAUUGCAAUUAUGUACCAUUUCAACAAUAGAAGUAGUGUAGACUUGCAAAUCCACACCAUUACAACACUGGAAGUAGUAUGGUUGUCUGAGCGAAGCCAAUUGGAAGUACGUACCUCUUAGUGAAGCUAAUUGGGAGCACACCCUCUGUCUUGUUGCGAAGCUGAUUGGAAGCAGUACAUAUAUACCUCUGUCUGCUAAAACUAAUUAGAAGCAGUACCCCUGGCAGAGAGGUCCCAAUUAGAAGUAUGUAACUCUGAGGGAAGCCAAUUGGAAGCAUGUACCUCUGCAAAAUUUGAUUAAAAAAUUAUUCAACAAAUUUUAUUUAACAUUCUUUUUAAAGUUUACUUGCAUACCAACUCUCAUUUUCUAUUUAUAAUUACUCCCCUUGUUGACAUUGUGACGUUCAAAUUAUCACUUCACCAUUUAGUAGAUCAUUCUAAUAAAUUACUACAACACACGAUCAAGUAUUGUUUAAUAAGGGUAAAAUACUUUAUUAGAUUUAAAUACUUCAUUAAUUUUCAUUAUAAUGAUUUUCUUUAUGUGUAUAUGUUUAUGCUUAUGAGUUGUAUUCAUGUAUAUUGUAUGUAAUAAUUCCCUAGUCAUAAAAGUAUAACAGGAAUUGAUUGUCUUCUUGCAUAUUUGUAAUACAUGUACAUGUAGGCGUAGGAAUUUUAGCACCAAAAUAUUUUAGUUGUAAAGUGACAUCUUUAUGUAUUUUAGUUCUAACAUGAACUUUGAGCAUUGUAUUGUUAUGGAUGUUGAAAGAACAAAGAAUUGCAUAAUUUUGUAUUUUGAUAUUAAAUGAAUUUUUAUGUAGGUGGAAUGACAAACAUAAUCGUACUUCAACUUUUGUACCAUAUAUUUUAUAGUUGUAGUCCUAAAGACAAGAUUUCAUUUUUACUUACAUUUACAAACAAAACAAAACAAUAUACGUCCGAGUAUGUCUCAUGAGACGACUUGUCGCAUUGGGUCGGAGCAUAUAUGACUGUUUAUGCACCGAUGGGUCGGACCCAGGUUUCCAGUUUCCCAUUAUUGGGUUUGUUUGGUUGUUCCUGGCCGGCGAGGUCGUUGAUGAUCGAGUUAUUCAUUUGUUCAGUUAUUCAGUUUACAUUCAUGUCAACCAUAUUAUAUCUCUUGUUAGUACAAGGUCUACUUUACUAGCUAAGUUGUACCUAAAAGUAUAUUUCAAGGUUUUUGUUAUUAGGAAUAAUUGUGGUUAUUGUUUUUUUCAUAUAUUUAUAUAUUAAGACACAUGUAUAUAAUUAUUUAAUAAAUUCUGUUGUCCACUAUGCUUGCUGGGCUAUCGGCAACACUAUAUAUAUUGUAUUCAUUUAUGCCUUAUAAUAGAUAUGAGCGUAUAGGGUAUACAUAUAGUUAUUCAAAUGCAAAAGGUUGACUUGAGAUUAUUUCUCUAGUACUGGUACAAGUUAUUGAAUUCAUAUUGUAUAAUGUAUGUUUAUAUUGAUAAUUUGUCUUAUAUAAAAUGGCAGCUCACAAUAUGCUGUACUCGAGCUAGUCAACAAACAUAA